CGAUUUGGUCAAAAUGAUCAAAUUGAUGCAAAAUUGAGAAUUAAAUACUUCCAAAUUAAUUUGGUAACUUAUAGAGGCAUAUUAGUAUAAAUUGGAAGUGAUUAGAAGUAUUUGAAACAAGGUGGAAGAGCAAAUUGAGUGGUUAAAGCUGCUGCUGCUAGAGAAUUCUGCAACUGGACUGAAAUGCACUUAUGCUGAAAUGAAGGGCUAAUGUGCAAAAUUCCAGUCUUAUCACUUAACACCAGCUGGGUGGAAGUUGUACACGUGCUAGUAACCCCUUCAUCAGCUUGAUUACAUCCAACUUCUUCCUCUCUUUUCUCUCAGCCUAGGAGCAAAUAGUGAGGUACCAGCCUACAAACCUGCAACAGGGUUGCAAUGUAAUUAUGGGGAAUUAGAGGGUUAAGUUGCAAAAUUUCAUCCUUAUCAUCUCAUCCCUGGUUUAUAAUACCUGGCAAAGCACCAGGCUUCUUCUCUCUCACCCUUUUUCAUCUCUCUUCUUCCCUUUUCCUUCAGCCAAAGGAAACGAAGUAGAGAAGGAAGCUAAUUCGGUGGAGUUCAGCUGAGAAGAAAGGAUUCAGCUGGGAAAAGAAAUAGAGAACUGAAAAGAGAGAGAGAAGUGAAGCUUGAGGAGUGUAGUGGGUAACCUUGUAGCCUGCGGGUUCAACUGGAGGGGUUGAUCCGAGCCAAAGAGAAGGUUUUGGAAGCUCCAGAUUGAGAAGCAAGGAAUUGAAAUUCAGCAAGUUUGAAUUUCGAGCAUGUUGAGGCUGGGAAUUAUUAGAGCUGAAGUUCAGACUUGUAAAAGCUGAUGAAUUGAGAAGCUCAACCAAGAAGUUGAAACUGGAGGAAAUUCAAGUAGAUAACUGAGCAAAGUAUGAUUGUUGCUCAGAUUGAGAGAAGAACUGAAGGAGCUUCUCUAGUAUGUUGAAUUGCUAGAAGAAUGAUUAAAACCUGAAAUCUAGGGCUUGGGAGGUGACUUCUUGCUGCUGAGGUGCUGCUGAACUGAAGGAGUGUUUAAAGCUGUGGAGCAAGAAACUAGGGGCAGAGGCACUGACUGGAGGUCGGCGACGCACUAAUUAUGGUAGAAGCCAAGUCGGCUUUAUUUGCAUUGAGUCGCGUGAUAUUGUUGUUGGCACAGUUCGAGACGUGGAUUCUAGUUGUUAGCAUCCCUACAGGUUCCAGUGCGAGCAUUGUGGCCGAGGAUCGCGGCAAGAGCCCUGCAGUCUAGCUAGUGGACCCCCGAGUGCUAGUGGUAUACCAUUUUGGGUUCAUGUGUCAUUUAUUUUGAUGUACUGAAACAUGUAAAUGAAUGUAUUAAAGAGCAUGUAAAUAACUAAAUGUUCCAGUUAUUCAGUUCAGUUAAAAGUUUUAAAUUACAGUAAAUUUCAUGUAUAGCUAGCUUACUA